rnacentral:rRNA from 1 species
CUAWUMMUGCAAGUCGAGCGAACAGAUAAGGAGCUUGCUCCUUUGACGUUAGCGGCGGMCGGGUGAGUAACACGUGGAUAACCUACCUAUAAGACUGGGAUAACUUCGGGAAACCGGAGCUAAUACCGGAUAACAUAUUGAACCGCAUGGUUCAAUAGUGAAAGGCGGCUUUGCUGUCACUUAUAGAUGGAUCCGCGCCGUAUUAGCUAGUUGGUAAGGUAACGGCUUACCAAGGCAACGAUACGUAGCCGACCUGAGAGGGUGAUCGGCCACACUGGAACUGAGACACGGUCCAGACUCCUACGGGAGGCAGCAGUAGGGAAUCUUCCGCAAUGGGCGAAAGCCUGACGGAGCAACGCCGCGUGAGUGAUGAAGGUCUUCGGAUCGUAAAACUCUGUUAUCAGGGAAGAACAAAUGUGUAAGUAACUGUGCACAUCUUGACGGUACCUGAUCAGAAAGCCACGGCUAACUACGUGCCAGCAGCCGCGGUAAUACGUAGGUGGCAAGCGUUAUCCGGAAUUAUUGGGCGUAAAGCGCGCGUAGGCGGUUUUUUAAGUCUGAUGUGAAAGCCCACGGCUCAACCGUGGAGGGUCAUUGGAAACUGGAAAACUUGAGUGCAGAAGAGGAAAGUGGAAUUCCAUGUGUAGCGGUGAAAUGCGCAGAGAUAUGGAGGAACACCAGUGGCGAAGGCGACUUUCUGGUCUGUAACUGACGCUGAUGUGCGAAAGCGUGGGGAUCAAACAGGAUUAGAUACCCUGGUAGUCCACGCCGUAAACGAUGAGUGCUAAGUGUUAGGGGGUUUCCGCCCCUUAGUGCUGCAGCUAACGCAUUAAGCACUCCGCCUGGGGAGUACGACCGCAAGGUUGAAACUCAAAGGAAU